CAUAAUCGAAGAAACGAAGUUCGUCUCUCCUCUGCGUGCGACGGCGACUUGAUGACCUAUGCGCUUCGUCCGAGUGAUGGUAUGCAAUCAAUUCAUCAACUUUCUCCUCAUCAAUGAAGAUUUCCCGCCUCCCCCAUUAACCGAAGCUACUGUAUAUAUAUGGCGUCACAUAGCUUUUUUGAAUGGAGAAAUUCAUCUCAAGGGAAAUAGAGGAGUCGGAGAGCAUCACCGGCGUCGUCUUCUUCCACAUACGGUGGCAAAAUCCAAAUCUUUGAUUGCCGUUAAAAUCCCAGGGUGAACCAAGUUUCUACCUGUUUGGAUUCAUUAUGUAUUGCAGCCACAGCUGCGAGAGCGCUGAAGUAAGUUCUUCAAGGAAUUUUCCUAAUUUUUACAGUCUACCUUGGUCCAAGAUUCUACAGGGGCUCAUUGAUUCAAAACUUCAAAGCACCUGCUGAAGGAAGGUGCCAUCUGUAACUAACCGUAUUCAACUUCACACGAAGUAACGACCACUUCAAAUUCACUGACUCACCAGUUUCCCUUCGCUUCAACAACCUGACCAAAUUUGUUAGUCCCAUGGCGGUGGUGUUAAGAACACCGUGGAACUUUCCAGAGGGACAACAGAUCUGAAGGGCGACAGAACUUUAACGGCGGCGUUUGGGAGAAGGCUACUCACAAGGAGGUGUACGGCGUUCAAGAAUAAUUAAUAUACCUUGAGGCUAAGGUCGUUUGAAGACGGAAGUGAGACGCCUCACGAACAUUAUUCUCACGCGGAUGAUUGUCAACGACUUGGAUAUGGAUGUUUUGGCUAAGGCGAGACUGGAUGAUCUCGAGGCUUUGAAGCUUGAUAAAUGCUCAGGUUCCUCUCUACCAAUGGACUUUCAGGAUCGUUUAAACACUGCAGUUGAAGACCAUAUAUAAAGGAAGAAGACUUUGUUGAGUAAGGAUCUCGGAAAAAUUGGGUUAAAUCAAUUUUUUUCUAAGGAACUUGAACCCUUUAUUUUUAAAGUGUUUGAUAUUAGAGAUGAGCAAUAUUUUCUGAUUUUGCGGACAUGAGUUAGAUGGAAUGGGGUAACAUUUUUUGACAUGGAUGAGAGCAACAAUUAUUUAUUCAACUCACUAGCGCAUCAUUUCUUCUGACACUAUUUAAUCUGCCACAGCCCACAGAUCUUGGUUCAUAUCAAUAUUAUUGUCCAACUGUGUGAUAUGAUAAUAUCAUUCACAAUCAAGGUCUUCCUCUACGUACCAUAUGCUUCUAACACUAUUUAACAUGUUUGAUGAACAAAAUUUUGUCAGUCCAUUUGCUAUCGUGUAUCUGAUAUUCAUGAAUCAAAAAUACAAUAUAAAAAGAAACUAAGACUGCAUGUGUACUUAGAAACUAAGAAACUAGAAAAUAUAGUUAUUUACUUCCUUUUUUAUAGAAAAUAUCUUUUUGGUACUUUUGUUUAAUUUUUUUUUAUAUUUUCCAAACAAUAUUAAUUAUAUAGUCAAUUUAAAUACAUGUCUAUAAGUUAUGGGAAAACAUAAUUACAAAAAAGUUCUGAAAUAGUUAUUAACCUCAAUGAUUGGAUAUCAAAAAAUGAUUUUUAUGUUUGUCUAAGCUGUAUCAAAAACUCGGAUUUCACAGUAAUCAAAAUAAGAUUAUUACACAUUUGAAAAUCAUAUCUAUCAUAUCUAUCUAUCCAAAUAGAUGAAGAU